UAGGGGUGGGAACGGUUGUCCGGUAUUAUUGGGCGUAAAGCGCGCGCAGGCGGUCUCUUAAGUCUGAUGUGAAAGCCCACGGCUCAACCGUGGAGGGUCAUUGGAAACUGGGGGACUUGAGUACUGGAGAGGAGAGUGGAAUUCCAUGUGUAGCGGUGAAAUGCGUAGAUAUAUGGAGGAACACCAGUGGCGAAGGCGGCUCUCUGGCCAGUAACUGACGCUGAGGCGCGAAAGCGUGGGGAGCAAACAGGAUUAGAUACCCUGGUAGUCCACGCCGUAAACGAUGA
rnacentral:rRNA from 1 species